rnacentral:rRNA from 1 species
GACGAACGCUGGCGGCGUGCUUAACACAUGCCAGUCGAACGGGCUCUGCCUGGCUGUGUGCUGGGCGGGGUUAGCGGCGAACGGGUGAGCAAUACGUGAGCAACCUGUCCUCUUUUUUGGGAUAAGACUUGGAUACGGGGACUACUACUUGAUAUUCCCGUCUGCUCGCAUGGCUGGGUGGGGAAAGUUCUUUUCGGUUGGGGCUGGACUCGCGGCAUCUCAGCUGGUUGGUGGGGUAGUGGCUUACCAAGGAGUUGACGGGUAGCCGGCCUGAGAGGGUGAGCGGCUACAUUGGGAAUGAGAUACGGCGCAGACUGCUACGGGAGGCAGCAGUGGGGAAUAUUGUACAAUGGGCGGAAGCCUGAUGCAGCAACGCCGCGUGCGGGAUGACGGCCUUCGGGUUGUAAACCGCAUUCGCCUGUGACGAAGCGUGAGUGACGGUAAUGGGUAAAGAAGCACCGGCUAACUACGUG